rnacentral:rRNA from 1 species
UUAAGCCAUGCAUGUGUCAGUACAAACUAAAUUAGAGUGAAACCGCGAAUGGCUCAUUAAAUCAGCUAUGAUUCAUUGGAUCUGUACACCCAGUUUUCCUUGGAUAACUGUGGUAAUUCUAGAGCUAAUACAUGCACAUAUAGUCCCUAACCUCCUCUCUUGUCUAAGAUGAGAGAGAGAGGGAAGGGCGCUUUUAUUAGUAUCAAAACCGGUCGGACUACGGUCUGUUAACCUAUUUGAUGACUCUGGAUAACUUUGGGCUGAGCGCACGGUCUUUUGCACCGGCGCCGCUUCUUUCAAGUGUCUGCCUUAUCAGCUUUCGAUUGUAUGUUAUGUGCCUACAAUGGCUAUAACGGGUAACGGGGAAUCAGGGUUCGAUUCCGGAGAGGGAGCCUGAGAAACGGCUACCACAUCUAAGGAAGGCAGCAGGCACGCAAAUUACCCACUCCCGGCAUGGGGAGGUAGUGACGAAAAAUAACGAUGCGAGACUCAUCCGAGGCUUCGCAAUCGGAAUGAGUACACUUUAAAUCCUUUAACGAGGAUCAAUUGGAGGGCAAGUCUGGUGCCAGCAGCCGCGGUAAUUCCAGCUCCAAUGGCGUAUAUUAAAGCUGUUGCGGUUAAAAAGCUCGUAGUUGGAUUUCAGUAUUGGACUGAUGAGUUUUUUCACCUUCUGGUGAUUAAACGGAAUCAAGCUUCAAAACCUGCUACCACAAUAAUUACAUUGUGUGUUGCUCAACUAGCUCACACGGGGUGCUCUUAAUCGAGUGUCCCGAGUGGCUGGUAUGUUUACUUUGAAAAAAUUAGAGUGCUCAGAGCAGGCUACAAAUGGCCUGAAUGUCUAUGCAUGGAAUAAUAUAAGAUGACCUCGGUUUUAUGUUUUACCGCGUUUCUUUUGGAAACCCGAGGUAAUGAUUAAUAGAACCAGGUCAGGGCAUUAGUACUGCGACGCUAGGAUGUUUUCAUUAAUCAAGAACGAAAGUUAGAGGUUCGAAGGCGAUCAGAUACCGCCCUAGUUCUAACCAUAAACGAUGCUAACCAGCGAUCCGCCGUAGUUAUUCCCAUGACUCGGCGGGCAGCUUCUGGGAAACCAAAGUCUUUGAGUUCCGGGGGAAGUAUGGUUGCAAAUCUGAAACUUAAAGGAAUUGACGGAAGGGCACCACCAGGAGUGGAGCCUGCGGCUUAAUUUGACUCAACACGGGAAACCUCACCAGGCCCAGACACUGGAAGGAUUGACAGAUUGAGAGCUCUUUCUCGAUUCAGUGGGUGGUGGUGCAUGGCCGUUCUUAGUUGGUGGAGCGAUUUGUCUGGUUAAUUCCGAUAACGAACGAGACUCUGGCCUAUUAACUAGUCGACGGAUUUCCAAACCAUGCAAUUGGUGUCCAGUUCGCAACAUUAUCUUCUUAGAGGGAUAAGCGGUAGUCCUAGCCGCACGAGAAUGAGCAAUAACAGGUCUGUGAUGCCCUUAGAUGUUCUGGGCCGCACGCGCGCUACACUGAAGGGAUCAGAAUGUUUUCCCCCUCCGAAAGGAGCGGGUAACCCGAUGAAACCCCUUCGUGAUAGGGAUUGGGGCUUGUAAUUAUUUCCCAUGAACGAGGAAUUCCCAGUAAGCGCAGAUCAAGAGUUUGCGUUGAUUACGUCCCUGCCCUUUGUACACACCGCCCGUCGCUACUACCGAUUGAAUGAUUUAGUGAGGCCUUCGGACUGUCGCUCUUGGAUAUCUUGGCUUAAUGCUAGUUCCUAGAGCUGACGGAAAGAUGUCCAAACUUGAUCAUUUAGAGGAAGUAAAAGUCGUAACAAGGUUUCC